GGCAUUUCAAUUCUCUGGGAGAAAGGAAAGGUGAACGUAGUUGACCACCAAUGUGGGAGCUCCGGAAGAGCAGAAGCGCCAUCUUUCUUCAGGGUUAGAUUGGCAGGCUGCUUCCCGGGCCUGGGGCUUGCUUUGCAGACCAGCGACGACUUCACUGGGCAUGCGCGGAGAGCCCGGGGACUCAGCUCGCAGACCCAACAGGAUGGAGCGACAAGGAACCAUCUGGGAAGCAGAGAGCAGCCUUCACUAAUCACAUCUGCUGAAGACAUGAUCUUGAACGUCCCAGGCUCCAGAACUAGCAACUCAUCUGGAGCCUGUGCUGGAUGUUUCCUCCCAUUGACAAGAUGGAAGGGAUGCUGGAGAAAAAGUUUCUCUGGUUCCUAAGCAUCAGCAAAUUCAACAGGAGGUGGAAAUUGCUCUCAACGAAGACCGACUUGGCCUCACCUCUGCUCAGGAGAUGUACGUCCCACUGCCUGGAGAACAUGCCAUAUGACUAACGCUGUAAAACUACAACUCUGCUGAUACGUCAUGUUUUGGCGGGCUCAAACUAAGAUUUCAAUCGCUUCAAGGAAGUGACUGGCUCUCCCUUUGCCCAGGACAGCAAAGGUUUUAGCACUGAAAGUUCCAUAUGUCCCAAGUACACCCGGGGGAGGGGAACGGGCAUCCAAGUUUAAAGAGAAAGGCAUCUCAGGCCUUCAUAUUUUGAAGGGGGAUAAAAACAGGAAACAAGAGGUUGAAAUGUAAAAAAAUGAUUCCGUGCCGAGAGUUCAGUGGAACAGGUGCUUGUUUGUUAUUUUAGAACAUUCUUUACAGGACAUAUCGAUAUUCUAAGGGCAAGUGGCUUGCUCUGGAGGGAACAAGACUAAAAUUUCAUUCUGACUGUGAAAUUGUGUUCUGUCCCCACUCCACCAACCUCUUCAACACAUUAUUUCAUUUUUUUUUGAGAU